UCCUAAUUCAGGGCAAAAAAGGAAAAGUUAUAUCCACUCAAGAUAUAAAAAAAAUGAUGAACGGAAGAAUCUUAGCAGAAUUGAUACCAUAUCUUCUGACAGGAAAAAAAAAAUUAGAAAUGAUUCCAAUGAUAAGGUGGACUUUGAAAGUUGUAGUACUGCUAGUAUAGCUAAUAAUCAAUCUUGGACAAAAGGCUUGCAAUCUUUGCACAAUACAGAGUUGGAGAAAUGUAAGGGUGAUGAUUACAACUGUAAAAUUGUUAGCUGUUUCUACUCAGAUGAAAACCCAUCAAGUUUUGAUGCAAAUUAUCCAGAUGAUUUUAUUGAGGACGAGACAGCCCCCUCUAUUUUUUUCAACACUGUCCUUUUAAAUAACACUAAAAUUGAUAGCGGUGUAACAGAAUUAAUUUUACAGACAAACGAUAAAGAAUCUGAAGAAAAAGUUAUUUCCAGUGUUAUUAAUGAAGCUGUACAGCAUGAUUUUUUCAACUCAUUGC